rnacentral:lncRNA from 1 species
UUAUCUUGUUUUUUGUAUUUUUUAAGUCUUUUCCUUUUUUAUGUUCAUUUCAGUGUGAGAUGAAUAUGUACAAUAUGGAAUGUAGAGCAAAUAAAAGCAAUUGUAAAGUAAAUUUGGCAAAAAUAAAUGUUAGGAGUUAGAUGCGAAAUUUAAAAGUUAGGUACGAAAUUGUAAAGUGUUAGACGUCAACGUACGAAAAUUAAAGUUUG